rnacentral:rRNA from 2 species
GGGACACGUGGUAUCCUGUCUGAAUAUGGGGGGACCAUCCUCCAAGGCUAAAUACUCCUGACUGACCGAUAGUGAACCAGUACCGUGAGGGAAAGGCGAAAAGAACCCCGGCGAGGGGAGUGAAAAAGAACCUGAAACCGUGUACGUACAAGCAGUGGGAGCACCCUUUUGGGUGUGACUGCGUACCUUUUGUAUAAUGGGUCAGCGACUUAUAUUCUGUAGCAAGGUUAACCGAAUAGGGGAGCCGGAGGGAAACCGAGUCUUAAUUGGGCGUUAAGUUGCAGGGUAUAGACCCGAAACCCGGUGAUCUAGCCAUGGGCAGGUUGAAGGUUGGGUAACACUAACUGGAGGACCGAACCGACUAAUGUUGAAAAAUUAGCGGAUGACCUGUGGCUGGGGGUGAAAGGCCAAUCAAACCGGGAGAUAGCUGGUUCUCCCCGAAAGCU